rnacentral:rRNA from 1 species
GACGAACGCUGGCGGCGUGCUUAACACAUGCAAGUCGAACGGUGAAGCGCCUUCCUUUUUGGUGGGUGUGGAUGAGUGGCGAACGGGUGAUUAACACGUGAGUAACCUGUCCCCUUCUUCUGGAUAACCGCAUGAAAGUGUGGCUAAUACGGGAUAUUCUGGGUCUGUCGCAUGAUGGGUCUGGGAAAGAUAUUGUUUCGGUGGGGGAUGGGCUCGCGGCCUAUCAGCUUGUUGGUGGGGUGAUGGCCUACCAAGGCGGUGACGGGUAGCCGGCCUGAGAGGGUGGACGGUCACACUGGGACGGAGACACGGCCCAGACUCCUACGGGAGGCAGCAGUGGGGAAUAGUGCACAAUGGGCGCAAGCCUGAUGCAGCGACGCCGCGUGAGGGAUGGAGGCAUUCGGGUUGUGAACCUCUUUCGCCAGUGAAGCAGGCCUGCCUCGUUUGUGGGUGGGUUGACGGUAGCUGGAGAAGAAGCGCCGGCUAACUACGUG